AACUUUUUUUCAAUAUUUAUGUAAACAUCUUAAGAAAGGUGUUAGCUUGACAACAUAAUCUGUUUUAAUACGACUAACAAAUAUAGGGUUCUACCUCCUAAAUCUUGUAAGAAUGAAUUUUCCAAAUUCUGCCUGCUUGAAUCUUUUUUUUAAUGUAAAGACCCAUUAAGACAUGACAAGAGUCAUGCCAUCAUGGAUAGGAUGUUUUGUUUUCUCUGUUUAAAUUUGUGCUUUCUAAGUGUACUUUUACAUAAAAAAUUAAGCUGUUAUUACAGGUCAAAGAUAAGCAACCAGCAUUGAUCCUAAGUACAGCAGAGUAAUAAUGCCCCCACUCACAGGCGCCGAACAGCAGCAGUUAGGUCCUCCCAGCUCCUCAUGCUCCUGUAAUUAUUCAGUUAUUUUAUUUAGUAGACCACUUCCCUACUAGGCUCUGAAUUAGUGCAUGUUUUGUGCAGAGCAGAAUAAAGGAGAACAGGACAUACAAUGCAAAGAAUACAAAAAAGCUGGUAUUCUGUCUGCUGUUAAUAUCCAGAUAGGGAAUAAGAGGAGAAAGAGAUGAUGCAGGGAACAAAAGCCAUGAUUUCAGGUUCAUAUUCCCACUGAUUUUUUUUUUCACCAAGGUGGAGUAAAAAGAAAUCAGUGGGAAGAUUAAUACCAGUGAGGAAGAAUGCGAGGCACAAAACAAAAGCAUGAGAGUGAGAAGGAAGAUAAGCAGCCGGGAGGCAGACAAUAGAACACAGAGUCAUAGAUUUUAAGGCCAGAAGGGACCAAUGUGAUAAUCUGACCUCCUGAACAGCAGAGGCCAUAGGUUAUGAAAUGGCAUAAGGAAGGGAGACAAGGGGGAAAGAGACACUGAAACAAAGACAAAAGUAUGGAUAGCGCUAAAUUCACUCUCGGCAGAGGAUCAGCACAAAACACUGCACCUUCUUGCUGCACAAAGCUGGAUUAUUUAGGAAGAACAGAUAAGGCAAUAAUGUUGUCCCUGCUACUCAUGUUCAUACGGCUUCGUACUCGCUUGAAACAUAGAUAAACCUGAGUGCUGUGGCUACCAGCAGGAUGGAGCAGGCAAUCAGACUUUGUUUAACCACCGACUUGGUUGUGCCUGUGUGGUUCUUCUUGGGCAAAGCUUCCUAAAGAACUUUGCAAAGGAAAGAUAUUAAAGCAAAGUCCAGGAGGUAGGUCUGACACUUCAGUGAUGUUACUGAUUUGACAACUUGAAUUGUGAAGACUUUGAC
rnacentral:lncRNA from 1 species